AUAUAGGCUGAAUGGGUGUUUAUCCUGGAGUGAGAGUUAAUUUAGUAAGGCAUGGGGUGUGUGUGUGUGUGUGUGUGUGUGUGUGUGUGUGUGUGUGUGUGUAUGGGGAUGGGGGAAACGGGACAGAGAAACAGGUCUCUGGCAUUGACCUCUUUCACAGUGUAAAUAUAACCCCAAAGGUCAAAACCACCCCCUAUAUUGACUUUAGCUCCACUCUGAUUAUUUACUGAAUUGCUACAAAAUGAAAUCAUCGGGAAAGGAAGAGGCCUUCUCAGAAGAGUCUUCCUCAACCAGCACAGGAUGAAGUUCAGCAGGAAGCUGCUCAGGCUUCAAGGUUCUGCCUGCAACAGGAGGAAAGAGAGCUUUGAGUUUUUGCUGCUCUGGUGUGUGAAGGGUCUUCCCUUAGAACUUAUCCAUGAUAACCCAUUUAAAGUAGAAUGCUGCAAUGGAAGAAAGGACACGUCAAAAAGCAUCUCUAGAGGAAUAAAGAAUACAGGGAGUAACUGGAUUUGGAGAAGAGGGCCUGGUUCAGAUACGGUUCAGUCUCUUCACAGCAGAUCUGAGUUGAAGAGUUUUGCUGGGAUGCAAUGUCAAGGAAUAAGAUCUCUUUAAAUCUUCAAGACCCAGAAGUUAUAAGGCUGAAGCCUGUACAGAGAAGAAUUCUGGUGAGGAAUGAGGAUCCCAGUGGAUACUUAUCAGGAACAAUCUCCAGAAGUCAGGUGCGGAUAGUCCGUUAUCUUCGGCUUUCUUCCUUCCAAUGGGAGAGUUAUUCUGUUGCCUUUGGCCCAAUCUAGGGCAAGUGGAGGGGGUUUGAUUCCCCAUGUUAACCCUUCUCUCUCUCCUUUAUCCUCUCCCUCCUUCUCUCCCUCCCUCUCUUCUUCCAUCUCUCCUCUUCUCUUUGCUUCCCCUUCUUUUUCUCUCCCUCUCCUCUCCUUCCUUUUUCUCCCUAUCUAUAAAAUGACCUUCUUCAGCUAGAGAAUAAGGACACAUGCCUAACCCCAAGGAAUAGUGCAGACCUGCUGAAGCUUGAGGAAAGAACAUUGUUG
rnacentral:lncRNA from 1 species